rnacentral:misc_RNA from 1 species
AGAGAAGUGUUGCUGCCGUGCCAGAAAUGAAGCGGAGCCGGCGAGCGACGCAGCAGGAGGAUGUGAUGCGGGCGCUCAAGGAAGGCGUGCAGGCGCUGAGUGUCUCGAGCACGCUCUCCAGAAAGGACCUUGUUUGCAGAGGAGACCACGCACGUGCAAUACAGGAAUUCCUUGAAGAUGAGAAGCAUCACACGAUGCAGAUAUUUGGAAUGCCUGGUACAGGCAAGACAGCCACCGUAAACUUUGCACUGGCGCAAGUGGCGUCGCGACGGGGUGCGCAACCGACAGCCGUCUUUCUUAACGGCUUUGUCGUUCAAAAGAGCUCUGAUAUCUACUAUACCCUCCAUCAUCACUUAACGAAGGCGAGACUCGGUGCGGUGGAGCCAUGCCCGUUAGCGCAAUGCGCUCCGCGCAUUGAGAAGCGCUUCCGGCACGGGUGGGGCGGCAAGCCUCCUGCUCUGUGCGUAAUUGUAGUCGAUGAGGUGGAUAAAAUUUUGGAAAAACAUUCCAAGGCACUUUUCAAAGUAGUCGAUUGGCUUACUCUCCCGUACGCGAAGUGCAAGCUGAUCACCAUCUCCAACAGCAUGGAACUGCAACUUGAUGCGAAAACGAAGAGCCGUCUCGGUGUGGUAAAUCAGCUCGUGUUCUCGUCGUAUGGGACUCAGGAACUGCGUGAGAUUCUUUUGCAUCGUGUCGGCGCUAUAGAACCGAAACUCUUUGCGGAUCAGGCGGUCAAUCAGCUCUGCACGCAAACGGCGUCGCACUACGGUGAUGUGCGGCGACUCUUGCAGUCUGCAUCUGCCGCCAUUUGUGGUGUCUUAAUGCGGAUGCAGGAUGACGCUUUCGAUGUCUCUUCUGCUGAUGGCAUUAUCACGCUGCGCGAGAUCCAUGGUAUUGUGCGGCAUAUUUUCCACGACAGAUUUGUCGAGUUUAUCACGACCAUGCGAAUGCCUGUCCUGUUCAUCACUGUGGCUGUCCUCGGCAAAGAGACAGAGGAGCUCAUCAGGAAGAGGGAGGUGGACUGUCGCCUACCGCUGGAGCGUCUCUUGGCAAUCACGCAGCAGGCCCAGCGGAAAUGUAUGAAUGUCUUGCGGCCGAUUAACCGGGUCGCUUUCGUGGAGGAAAUCGAGCUGCUUCGCCAAGUCUCGCUGAUAGAGGUAUGCAUCGGCGAAGAUCGCAUUCCCAUACGCUGUGCUGAUGAGCUGCUUGACGCCAAGGAGGAGGUUUUCGUUUUUCUUCUUCAGCCAUAUCAAAUGGUAGUGGACUCCUGUCGCCUGCACGACGCAUUUGGCGCCACGUACGGGGCGGCGCUGCACUUGUGACGGCCGGUGCGCAACUACAUCGACGCUGCUUGGUGUGGCUCGCUGCUGCUAGUUUGUUUUUUUCGUUGUAUUGUUGGUCGAUGUUAGAGUCUAUUGAUAUGCACCUUUAUACGAAAAUCAGUGAUCCCCGAGGAACUGGUGAACGACUAUCAAGUGCUUAUUUUGUGCGUUGCUCUUAGUAGGGCUACGCCUCGCAGUUUGCGGAGAAGAAGCGCGAACAUAUGCGUCGGUCUUUGUAUUUCCGGGUUGCGGCGUUGCGCGAGAUUUAUAGGGCUUCUGUCAACGGGAACGGAGGGGUUACUCCUGCGCAAAGUGAUGAGCUCUAUGCCUGUUUGAGCACAUCUUUUUCUUUCAUCUUGCUACUUUUUUUUUCCGCUUCUUGAGCUUCUUUGUUUUUUUUUCCUUUUCAUCCCCGAAAG